UACAGGCUCCUGGUAUCACUUUGUGAGAGGAUUCAUGCCUGGCUGAGUGGGCCUGUGCUCAGGCACCAAACCUAACACUAAAUGCAUGCAUAAGUAAACGAAUCAAUACCUCAUAAGAUAACGAGGCAAUUUCUCACAAAUAACAGUAGUGCAUGAAUAACUAAGGAGACCACUCCAAACGACACCUCAUUUCAGCCACAUUGAACCUUCUUUCUGUUUAUCCUGUGGCCCAGUUUUAGCGAGUAAAUUGAUACUCAUGUCUUGCACACUGUGGGACAUUUUCGGAAUCUACUUGCCCAUGUUUGUGUCUAGAGCUAAUCUCACAGCAGGUUUUGACCAUCUCACAUCACCACGUCAGUGAUGAUUUCUGCAGGGAAAAGCUUCCUCCCUUGUAGCAAUAUCAGUGGAGAUAGCUGCUGAUGUAAUUCAAUGUAUGCAAACUAUGAGCUAUUUGUAAGCAAUUUUCAUAAUCUCACAUAAUUUUAGAACACUGAGAAGCUGAAUUAUUUUCCCAUACUUUAUAUAUAAAAAAGGGGGGUCUUUGAAAGGUUAAGCAAAUUGGAAAUCAAUCAAUGAAUCAAUUAACCAAUCAAUCACUCUCCUGCUGGGAAUUGGAGUCUUUUGGUCUGACCUAAAAGUUAUCAGCCCAUUAUUUGGUGAACUUUCCAUUAGAGAAAUGUGGUUUCUCUCUAAAAACACCACACUUAAGCAACUAGGUAGCUCAGUGGGUAGAGCUUGUCGUACAGCCGAACUAUCUGAGCCUGAGUCCUGGGAUCUACAGGGUCCACUCUCCAGAGCUGUCCUCUUACUUCCACACAAUGAGAAAUCAACAUGAAUGAAGGACAGAUAAAUUUCACUUUGUAAAUUCAGUCACGGGCAAUUCCAAAUUUGAGGUUUUUCUCCCAAAUGUUUUUUGUUUACUAAAAUCAUUAUCACUUCAAAUAUUGAACUCUAUUUUUAAAACCUCCUUUAAAAACCUCUCUCUGGGAAUUCUCACUUAGCACAUCUGCUUUUAACCCUUCUUGCUUCAGCAAUUGUCUGUCUCAGAGAAGGCCAGAUGUUUCUUGGUUUCACACUUCUUUGUUUCUUGUUAUUUCAGCAGCUGUCGACCGUCUGUGUGAGAGAAGCCCAGUGGUUUCAUGGUUCCAUACUUUCCUGGUUCCUUCUUAGCAACAGACACCUGGCAACACGGCUGCCACGGCUUACUGGCUUCUUGCUAGCACUGAUGACCACAUGUAUAAGCCCAGGUCAAUAGGACAUUAGGAUAAAAAAUAAACACAGUUACUGGGCAAAAUACAAUUUAAAAAAUCUAUGUACAUUCUUUUCUUACUCUAUCCUGCAGUGAAAUGGCAGCAAACAAGGUUGUAGUCUUGGACAAAAAUGGAAGCAAUAUGUUGGAGACAGUUUUAUUACUUCAUUCAACCUUUGUCCCUGAAUGACAACGAGAAAAGCAGUCACCUGAUUGAUCACCUGACCCUCUGCCAGACUGUCACAUAAUAGAAAGAUCUAAAGAAACCUCUUCUUUAGCUCAGGUUAGUCUGAAAUUCUCAAAAUAGACCAAGGUGGCCUUGAACUUACGAUAGCUUCUGCAUCUGCAUCUGCAUCUGCAUCUGCCUCUGCCUCCCAAGUUUCAGGAUUACAGGCCUAUACCACCCCACCCUGCUUCUUUCUGAAAUUUUGAUUCACUUCUCUAACCCAUAACCCAGGAAAAAAACAAAAGAUACUACACUGAAAAAUAAUUUACAGGUUAUAUGAAAUCUUUGGGCCUUCGAUUCUUAUGUGCCAUAAAAAGAAAUAAAAAAGAAUACAAAUAUGUUUCUCAUGGU
rnacentral:lncRNA from 1 species